rnacentral:rRNA from 1 species
GAUGAACGCUGGCGGCGCGCCUAACACAUGCAAGUCGAACGAGCGAGCGAGAGCUUGCUUUCUUUAGCGAUUGGCGAACGGGUGCGUAUCGCGUGAGGAACCUGCCUCAAUGAGGCGGACAACAGUUGGUAACGACUGCUAAUAUCGCAUAAGCUAACGCUGACGCAUGGCACCGAGGGAAAAGGAGCAAUCCGCUUUGAGAUGGCCGCGCGUCCGAUUAGCUUGUUGGUGAGGUAACGGCCCCUCCAGGCCACGAUCGCUAGACGGACAGAGAGGUAGAACGGACACAUUGAGGCGGAGACGCAGCGCAGACUCCUACGGGAGGCAGCAGAGGGGGAUAUUGCAAAAUGGGGGGAGCGCUGAAGCAGCGAGGCCGCGUAGAGGAAGAAGUUCUGCAAAAAGAAAAGUCCUGUUGUUGGGGAAGAUAAUGACGGUACCCAACAAGGAAGUGACGGCUAACUACGUG